rnacentral:rRNA from 1 species
AACGAACGCUGGCGGCGUGGAUAAUACAUGCAAGUCGAGCGGGCCUCCGGAGGUGCUUGCACCUCCGGAAGGCCAGCGGCGGACGGGUGAGUAGCACGUGGGCAACCUGCCUUUGAGGCCGGGAUAACACCGGGAAACCGGUGCUAAUACCGGAUACGUCCUCUUUCGCGCCUGCGAGAGGGGAGGAAGACGGUCUUUAAGGCCGUCGCUCAAAGAGGGGCCCGCGGCGCAUUAGCUGGUUGGUGGGGUAAGGGCCUACCAAGGCGACGAUGCGUUGCCGACCUGAGAGGGUGAUCGGCCACACUGGGACUGAGACACGGCCCAGACUCCUGCGGGAGGCAGCAGUAGGGAAUCAUCCGCAAUGGGCGAAAGCCUGACGGUGCAACGCCGCGUGAGUGAGGAAGGUUUUCGGAUCGUAAAGCUCUGUUGUGAGGGAAGAACAGCUUCCGGAGGAAAUGCCGGAGGUUUGCCGGUACCUCACCAGAAAGCCCCGGCUAACUACGUGCCAGCCGCCGCGGUAA